rnacentral:rRNA from 1 species
UACGAAGGGGGCUAGCGUUGUUCGGAUUUACUGGGCGUAAAGCGCACGUAGGCGGAUUUGUAAGUCAGGGGUGAAAUCCCGAGGCUCAACCUCGGAACUGCCUUUGAUACUGCAAAUCUCGAGUCCGGAAGAGGUGAGUGGAAUUCAUAGUGUAGAGGUGAAAUUCGUAGAUAUUAGGAAGAACACCAGUGGCGAAGGCGGCUCGCUGGGCAGUGGCUGACGCUGAGGCGCGACAGCGUGGGGAGCAAACAGG